rnacentral:rRNA from 1 species
AAACGUGUGAGCGAGAUCUCGGUAUUGAUUAAGCGCUUGCAUCAUAGAUUUACAUUUGAGUGAGUGGCGAACUGGUGAGUAACACGUGGGAAACCUGCCCAGAAGCGGGGGAUAACACCUGGAAACAGAUGCUAAUACCGCAUAACAACUUGGACCGCAUGGUCCGAGUUUGAAAGAUGGCUUCGGCUAUCACUUUUGGAUGGUCCCGCGGCGUAUUAGCUAGAUGGUGAGGUAACGGCUCACCAUGGCAAUGAUACGUAGCCGACCUGAGAGGGUAAUCGGCCACAUUGGGACUGAGACACGGCCCAAACUCCUACGGGAGGCAGCAGUAGGGAAUCUUCCACAAUGGACGAAAGUCUGAUGGAGCAACGCCGCGUGAGUGAAGAAGGGUUUCGGCUCGUAAAACUCUGUUGUUAAAGAAGAACAUAUCUGAGAGUAACUGUUCAGGUAUUGACGGUAUUUAACCAGAAAGCCACGGCUAACUACGUGCCAGCAGCCGCGGUAAUACGUAGGUGGCAAGCGUUGUCCGGAUUUAUUGGGCGUAAAGCGAGCGCAGGCGGUUUUUUAAGUCUGAUGUGAAAGCCUUCGGCUCAACCGAAGAAGUGCAUCGGAAACUGGGAAACUUGAGUGCAGAAGAGGACAGUGGAACUCCAUGUGUAGCGGUGAAAUGCGUAGAUAUAUGGAAGAACACCAGUGGCGAAGGCGGCUGUCUGGUCUGUAACUGACGCUGAGGCUCGAAAGUAUGGGUAGCAAACAGGAUUAGAUACCCUGGUAGUCCAUACCGUAAACGAUGAAUGCUAAGUGUUGGAGGGUUUCCGCCCUUCAGUGCUGCAGCUAACGCAUUAAGCAUUCCGCCUGGGGAGUACGGCCGCAAGGCUGAAACUCAAAGGAAUUGACGGGGGCCCGCACAAGCGGUGGAGCAUGUGGUUUAAUUCGAAGCUACGCGAAGAACCUUACCAGGUCUUGACGUACUAUGCAAAUCUAAAAGAUUAGACGUUCCCUUCGGGGACAUGGAUACAGGUGGUGCAUGGUUGUCGUCAGCUCUUGUCGUGAGAUGUUGGGUUAAGUCCGGCAACGAGCGCAACCCUUAAUAUCAUUUGCCAGCAGUAAAGUAGGGCAAUUG